rnacentral:rRNA from 1 species
UACGUAGGGACCAAGCGUUGUUCGGAAUUACUGGGCGUAAAGGGCUCGUAGGUGGCCAACUAAGUCAGACGUGAAAUCCCUCAGCUUAACUGGGGAACUGCGUCUGAUACUGGAUGGCUUGAGAUUGGGAGAGGGAUGCGGAAUUCCAGGUGUAGCGGUGAAAUGCGUAGAUAUCUGGAGGAACACCGGUGGCGAAGGCGGCAUCCUGGACCAACACUGACACUGAGGAGCGAAAGCCAGGGGAGCAAACGGG